GACAGAGGGUGCAAACGUUGCUCGGAAUUACUGGGCGUAAAGCGCGUGUAGGCGGUUUCAUAAGUCGUGCGUGAAAGCUCCCUGGCUCAACCGGGAGAGGUCGUGCGAUACUGCGAAACUUGAGUCACACAGAGGCAAGUAGAAUUCCGGGUGUAGUGGUGAAAUGCGUAGAUAUCCGGAGGAAUACCAGUGGCGAAGGCGACUUGCUGGGUCUGUACUGACGCUCAGACGCGAAAGCAUGGGGAGCGAACGGG
rnacentral:rRNA from 1 species